rnacentral:rRNA from 1 species
UACGUAGGGGGCAAGCGUUGUCCGGAAUCAUUGGGCGUAAAGAGCGCGUAGGCGGCCCGAUAAGUCCGCUGUGAAAGUCAAGGGCUUAACCCUUGAAUGCCGGUGGAAACUGUCGGGCUAGAGUCCGGAAGAGGCGAGUGGAAUUCCUGGUGUAGCGGUGAAAUGCGCAGAUAUCAGGAGGAACACCAAUGGCGAAGGCAGCUCGCUGGGACGUGACUGACGCUGAGACGCGAAAGCGUGGGGAGCAAACAGG